GCGUUCGAAACCACCUACUAACAACUUCAACAGACAGAGAAGAUUAGCAUGGCCCCUGCACUAAGGAUGACACAUGUAAUCAAAGAGAAGCUACCAAUUUUU
rnacentral:snRNA from 1 species